rnacentral:lncRNA from 12 species
GCUCUCCAAAAACCCAGGCAGAGCUUUUCCCUCCCUGUUCCACUGGGCACAGCAGUCCCAGGGGUGCAUUCUCCAUGCUUUGGGCACUGGUGUGGGCUGGGGACACCCUGGUGCCAUCAGAGCCGUUUGUCACCCCUCUGGAACAGGCUGGGGGGAGCUGCUCUGCUGCCUCUGCCAGGCAGAACUCCUGUGCUGCAAACCAAAUCCUGCAGAGGAACAUCCCCGGGAGCCAUAUGGUGUCCCUGAGGCUUUGAUGGAGCUGAGCCAAGCCCAGAGCAGCCCAGCAGGUCGGUCUGUGAGCCAUGGUGAGCCCAGGGGACCCGUCCUGCCCUGCUCAGGGCUGCCAGCCCAGUGCUCAGCAGUGUGCUGGAGUCUCCUGUGCCUGGUGGAGCUGCUGACAUUGGGGGUUUGCACUUAAGGAGGAUGGUUUUGUGGUUAAAUGAUACAAGUGGAGAGAGCAGCAUCUCAGAGCAGCAUCCCAAACUCCAGUCAGGCAGCAGGUGGGUCAGGGCAGCUUGGGGACGUGUGGUGUUUGCUCUGAGCCACGAUUCAAACCUGCUCUCAGGGCUGGGGGCAGCACAGCCAAGCCUCCAUGGACUGCUGGAGAGCUUGCACUGAGCUCUGCUCCUUCUGGGGGGAUGAACAGUGCUGCAGCACACAGGAGCAGGGGUGCACGUGCCUCUGGCCUGGUAAGGUCCACCCAAACAAGCCCCAAACCUGCAGAGGCAAGAAAAAGGAGAAUUUCUCUGGGAUUUUACCUUGCACCUCGCUUUGUGAUGCUCUGAGUUUGCUGUGGAAAGACACAGCCCAGGUUGGUUGAAUCUCAAAAUUUAUAUUUUGGUCUCCAGGAGCUGUGAGCAGCAUUUGCCGUGCUGGAAAACAGGCUGGAGGAGGGAUGUGUGCCCUGCACCUGGAGCUGUGGGGGCUGCAGUGACUCACUGAUAUCAGAGGGCUGCCCAGAGAGGACCUGUGGAUUUUAAUGUUGCAAAGCUUCUGGAGAUUCAUGGCUGAGAUGGGAGAGGGAGAUGAUGCAGAUGAUGCAGAUGAUGGAGCUGUAGAUAAAGAAGGAGAUGGAGCCACCUCGUGCAGGAGCUGCAGGGGUAACCCGGGGUUGAAGUGUGGGGAGAAGCUCAUUUGUUAUGCAAAUCUCUGCUUGAGCCUGGCGUAUAGACAGUGGAAAGCUCGAAUUAUUUUAAGCAGAGGACAAAAGUUCUCUCCAUGCCCCUAUCAUCUUGGAUCCUUGAAAAAACAAAACAAAACAAAACAGAAACCUCUCUGUGAACCAUCUGACAAUGAUCAGCACUUGGCUUUUCUGGCAAGAGCAGGGUGUGCACAGGCACAUGGAAAUAGAACAAUUAAGGGAAAAAAAAGGGUAUUGGGAGCAGGCAGGCUUUAUGUUGUCUUGAUGACAGCACGGAGUGAUCAUCCUCCAGCCUUACCUCUCCAUCCUGCCAGGCACAGCAGAGCUGCAGGGCUGGGGGCUCUCCCUGGGUGAGAGGAGCUUCCUUGCUGCCCACCUGCAGCUCAGUCUGGGCAAGGAGAGGAGCAAGGGUGGCUGUUCUGGAUGCAGGAUGUCCUUUCAGGCCCACAGUUGGAGUGGGAGGCUGGUCCAUGCAGGGGAGGCACCCGUGCAUGGCAGGGACCUUCCUGCCCGCAGCUUUGCAUGAGCAGAUGUGCAUUCUGUGCUAAGAAAACCCUGGCAGUAUUUACACAGCAUCCAGGGGCACCAGGGGGACAAAGCUGAGCCUUUGCCACCUGGGCAGCGAUGCCAAGCUGGCAUUUCCCUGGGGAGAGCCAAACCUGUGCCACGCGCUGUGUAAGGCAGAGCAGAGCUGCUGCCUGCACUCUGCCCACUGCAGCUGUGGUAAAACCCUGCUUUCCAGACAUUUUCCAGAUGUUUUCCAGACAGGUUGCAUCUCUCCAGAGUGGUUUUCCC